GACGAACGCUGGCGGCGUGCUUAACACAUGCAAGUCGAACGGAAAGGCCCUGCUUUUGUGGGGUGCUCGAGUGGCGAACGGGUGAGUAACACGUGAGUAACCUGCCCUUGACUUUGGGAUAACUUCAGGAAACUGGGGCUAAUACCGGAUAGGAGCUCCUGCUGCAUGGUGGGGGUUGGAAAGUUUCGGCGGUUGGGGAUGGACUCGCGGCUUAUCAGCUUGUUGGUGGGGUAGUGGCUACCAAGGCUUUGACGGGUAGCCGGCCUGAGGGGGUGACCGGCCACAUUGGGACUGAGAUACGGCCCAGACUCCUACGGGAGGCAGCAGUGGGGAAUAUUGCACAAUGGGCGGAAGCCUGAUGCAGCAACGCCGCGUGCGGGAUGACGGCCUUCGGGUUGUAAACCGCUUUCGCCUGUGACGAAGCGUGAGUGACGGUAAUGGGUAAAGAAGCACCGGCUAACUACGUG
rnacentral:rRNA from 1 species